GCGGUCAUGCUGGAAUUGGCAGACAGGCAUGACUAAGGAUCAUGUGUCAAAAGACGUGAGGGUUCAAGUCCCUCUGACCGCACCA
rnacentral:tRNA from 1 species